GUGGGGAAUCUUCCGCAAUGGACGAAAGUCUGACGGAGCAACGCCGCGUGAGUGAAGAAGGUUUUCGGAUCGUAAAGCUCUUUCGUUAGGGACGAACGUGCUCUUUGUGAAUAAUGAGGAGUAAUGACGGUACCUAAAUAAGAAGCCACGGCUAACUACGUGCCAGCAGCCGCGGUAAUACGUAGGUGGCAAGCGUUGUCCGGAAUUAUUGGGCGUAAAGCGCGCGCAGGCGGGAUAUCAAGUCUGUCUUAAAAGUGCGAGGCUCAACCUCGUGAGGGGACAGAAACUGGUAUUCUUGAGUGUCGGAGAGGAAAGUGGAAUUCCAAGUGUAGCGGUGAAAUGCGUAGAGAUUUGGAAGAACACCAGUGGCGAAGGCGACUUUCUGGACGAUGUCUGACGCUGAGGCGCGAAAGCUAGGGGAGCGAACGGGAUUAGAUACUCUUGUAGUCC
rnacentral:rRNA from 1 species